UCGAGGGGCAGCAUAAUGGAUAGCAAUAUCUAUGGUGGCGACCGGCGCACGGGUGCGUAACGCGUAUGCAACCUACCUUUAACAGGGGGAUAACACUGAGAAAUUGGUACUAAUACCCCAUAAUAUCAUAGAAGGCAUCUUUUAUGGUUGAAAAUUCCGAUGGUUAGAGAUGGGCAUGCGUUGUAUUAGCUAGUUGGUGGGGUAACGGCUCACCAAGGCGACGAUACAUAGGGGGACUGGGAGGUUAACCCCCCACACUGGUACUGAGACACGGACCAGACUCCUACGGGAGGCAGCAGUGAGGAAUAUUGGUCAAUGGACGCAAGUCUGAACCAGCCAUGCCGCGUGCAGGAUGACGGCUCUAUGAGUUGUAAACUGCUUUUGUACGAGGGUAAACGCAGAUACGUGUAUCUGUCUGAAAGUAUCGUACGAAUAAGGAUCGGCUAACUCCGUGCCAGCAGCCGCGGUAAUACGGAGGAUUCAAGCGUUAUCCGGAUUUAUUGGGUUUAAAGGGUGCGUAGGCGGUUAGAUAAGUUAGAGGUGAAAUUUCGGGGCUCAACCCUGAACGUGCCUCUAAUACUGUUGAGCUAGAGAGUAGUUGCGGUAGGCGGAAUGUAUGGUGUAGCGGUGAAAUGCUUAGAGAUCAUACAGAACACCGAUUGCGAAGGCAGCUUACCAAACUAUAUCUGACGUUGAGGCACGAAAGCGUGGGGAGCAAACAGGAUUAGAUACCCUGGUAGUCCACGCAGUAAACGAUGAUAACUCGUUGUCGGCGAUACACAGUCGGUGACUAAGCGAAAGCGAUAAGUUAUCCACCUGGGGAGUACGUUCGCAAGAAUGC
rnacentral:rRNA from 1 species